rnacentral:rRNA from 1 species
AUCGAACGCUGGCGGCAGGUCUAACACAUGCAAGUCGAACGAGUGGCGGACGGGUGAGUAAUGUCUGGGAAACUGCCCGAUGGAGGGGGAUCACUACUGGAAACGGUAGCUAAUACCGCAUACCAUCGGAUGUGCCCAGAAGGGAUUUGCUAGUAGGGGGGGUAACGGCUCACCUAGGCGACGAUCCCUAGCUGUUCUGACAGGAUGACCAUCCACACUGUAACUAAGAAACGGUCCGGACUCCUACGGGAGGCAGCAGGGGGGAAUAUUGCACACGGGGCGCAAGGCUGAGGCAGCCAGGCCGCGUGUAUGAAGAAGGCCCUCGGUUUGUAAAGGACGAUGAGCGAGGAGGCGUUCGACGCAGAAGAAGCACCGGCUAACUCCGUGCCAGCAGCCGCGGUAAUAC